rnacentral:rRNA from 1 species
UUUGGGCGUGUCUCCCUUCUCGGGAGACUCUCUCAACCCCAAGAACCCUUGACCUCAAAUCGGGUGAGACUACCCGCUGAACUUAAGCAUAUCA